AGAGUUUGAUCAUGGCUCAGGACGAACGCUGGCGGCGUGCCUAACACAUGCAAGUCAAGGGGAAAGUUUAGCUUCGGCUGGAUGAGUAUACUGGCGGACGGGUGAGUAACGCGUAGGCAACCUGCCCUAUGGCCAGGGAUAACCCACCGAAAGGUGGACUAAUACCUGAUAACACAGCGUAUUCGCAUGUUUAUGCUGUUAAAGUUUGCUUUUCGGAGCACACACCAUUGGAUGGGCCUGCGUUCCAUUAGUUAGUUGGUGAGGUAACGGCUUACCAAGGCGACGAUGGAUAGCUGGUUUGAGAGAGUGAUCAGCCACACUGGGACUGAGAUACGGCCCAGACUCCUACGGGAGGCAGCAGUGAGGAAUAUUGCGCAAUGGGCGAAAGCCUGACGCAGCAACGCCGCGUGGGGGGUGAAGUUCUAUGGAGCGUAAACCCCUGUAAGCGGGGACGAAAGUUGUAUGUUCGAACAGGGCAUACAUUUGACGGUACCCGCAGAGUAAGCUCCGGCUAACUCCGUGCCAGCAGCCGCGGUAAUACGGGGGGAGCGAGCGUUGUCCGGAAUUACUGGGCGUAAAGGGCGUGUAGGCGGUUUGGUAAGUCAGAUGUAAAAGCCCCCGGCUUAACCGGGGAUGGUCAUUUGAAACUGCCGGGCUUGAGUUCGAGAGAGGGUAGCGGAAUUCCCAGUGUAGCGGUGAAAUGCGUAGAUAUUGGGAAGAACACCAGUAGCGAAGGC
rnacentral:rRNA from 1 species